AUGAAGACGCCGAGGACUGGGGGGCAACAAGAAAAUCCAAUGAUCAAUGAAAGCAAACCAAAAAAAACAAAGACCGAAAUAAGCGCAAGUGUAAGAGCUCAAAAAUCAGCUUUUGCUGAACUAUUGGAUAAAUAUCAAAAGAAGAGUGCAGAGAAGAAUGCUUAUCGGCCAAAUUAUGCAAAGAAACCAAGAUCACCCCCAAGGCGCAAAUAUGAGGAUCGGUAUUGGCAAAGUGGGAAUUUUAAUGCAACAUAUUCAUAUCCUAAUUAUGGACCGCUAAUGCCAAUGUCGUGGAUGCCUCCCUAUGCUCAUGCAGAUCCAUAUCCAUCGUGGGACAGGUAUGAUACAAGGGCACAUUCUCCAUUUUAUUUUAGACCAUCUCACAAAUAUUAUGCAGCUCCGAGAAGAUCAACAUUUGAACAAUCGCAUGUUAAAGACCAUUUCAAUCAUAAGGAAUCGAUCUGGAGCUCAAGGAAGAAGAAAGAGGUGGUCAAACAAGUUUACCUCGUUAAAAGAUAUGGUCGUAAGAGUGCUACUUCAGAUUUGAUAUCAAAUGAAAAAGAGCCCAUUAAAGUGUUGACAUUAGCUACUAAAGGCAAUGACAUGAAGCAAUCAACAAAUCAAAUGAAAAAGAGCACAUUAAAGUGUUGA
rnacentral:rRNA from 1 species